GUAAACGGCGGCCGUAACUAUAACGGUCCUAAGGUAGCGAAAUUCCUUGUCGGGUAAGUUCCGACCCGCACGAAAGGCGUAAUGAUUUGGGCACUGUCUCGACAAUGCACCCGGUGAAAUUGAAGUACCAGUGAAGAUGCUGGUUACCCGCGCCAGGACGGAAAGACCCCAUGGAGCUUUACUCCAGCUUGAUACUGGGAUUCGGUAUUGCAUGUACAGGAUAGGUGGGAGGCA
rnacentral:rRNA from 1 species